CUGGAACAGCUGCCAAGGGAGAGGAGUGUGGAGUGGAAGAGGGGGAAAUAAAAGAGGAUGGAUGGGCAAGAGCGGAAAGUCGUCCCUUUCUUGGAGCCUUCCCACCAGUCGCUGGAAUCUUUCUGGAGGCGAGAUGAAAAUUCCUCUGCCUAAUGAGCAUGGUGAGUGGACAGAGGCUGGGCUCCAGCGCUCCAUUAGUGAG
rnacentral:lncRNA from 1 species